rnacentral:lncRNA from 1 species
GCUGCAGCAACAACAGCCGAGAUUGCUAUGACUAAUCAAGUACAGAUGGCUGAGACUAUCAAUCAGAUUGUGGAAAAAACCGCAGUGGCACUAGAGAUACAAGAAGAAUUUAAUACCCACUUGGCAUCUGGUCUUCAAUUAGCUAAUCAAUGGAUAGAUUUGAUCCAUGAACAAAUUGAAGCAUUAUAUCAUAUGACACAGAUGUCCUGUGUUUCCUCCCUUAGAGGUUUAUGUAUUACUCCUUUGCAAGCUAACUUCUCUCAGUAUUCUCAACAGAGCAAAGAAAUCUCGAAUUAUCUAAAAGGAAACUGGUCCAUGAAAGUGGAGCAAUUAUCGAGACAAUUGCUGAUGCAGAUUGCUGUCCUUAACAACACUAGAUUGGAACCUAUCACGUUUGGAGAUUUCACCUCAUGGAUUACUAAUGCUUUCUCCUUUUUUAAAGAAUGGGCUGGCAUGUUUGCCUGGGGGGGCCAUUGUCCUCUUGGGAUGCGGAGUAUGUCUAUGGCUCUUUUGCCGUUUACAACGAGAGCAUGCCAGACACAAAGUGAUUGUUUACCAAGCUAUGGUUGCCAUUGAAAGUGGUACAUCUCCCAACAUAUGGCU